UGCGUGUGAAGCAUUGCUCUCAUAAACUUCAUAAGCUGCGGUUCCUCAAUACCAAGCCUCCUACCAAUUGCAACCUGGAGAGAAGUUGCAAGAGCAUGUAAAGCAAGCCUUUUCCUAAUGCAUCUUCAUUAGGACGGAGCAAUGCCAACAAAGUCUCCUUCAAGGGCUUCAGCAGAGUUGGAUCAUUUGCAGCUAAGGGCCCUAAAUGUGAGCAUGCAACCCUUAGAGCACUUGAAUGGUCUCCAGAACUGACCAGCUUAAGAAAUUCAACCUGCUUCAACUGGAA
rnacentral:misc_RNA from 1 species